UCAAAGUAUAUAGUAAUUUAUUCAUUAGGGGGACCCUAGAUGGGUAUCCCUAAAAUGUAUCACACUAAAUCAACAACCUCCCUUACAUUCAAAUGAUAAAGGAAAAAUCCCAUUUAAGGGAAAACUACAAAGCAAAACAAAUUACCAGACAAGAAUCUGCAACUUUGCAGCAACAUUACUGCAGGAAAAAAACAUUAAAUCUAAACAUUUUACGCAAAACUUUCUGUCUAUUUUUGUUGUGUAUGUAUCGCUGCCCCACCAGAGAUGCAUGAUACAUUUCUGACUAUACGCCGCAAUCUGAUUUUACACCUCACUCAAGGGAAAAAGAAAGGGAAUUUCUAAAGACAUAAACUCAAAACAAAAAACAAAAAACAAAAAAACCUUUAGCACAAAAUCUUGUAAACUUCUAUCUCUAGACCUUCAAAACAGGCACUCCAGUUAGCCCUACAAAAGGAUAUCCAAUUCUUUAACCUCUCUCAACUUCAUAUAAUUAUAGAAGUAUGCAAAAUUCAUUGAUUCAGAUUCUACACCAAAUUUUUCACCUAAUGUAACACCCUUGUUUGGCAAUAUUCUCCUAGCCACCAAUCCCU
rnacentral:lncRNA from 1 species